rnacentral:lncRNA from 1 species
CGGCCUUGUGAGUGAAUAGUAACUGUUAAGGCAUGAGUUGUAAAGCAAAGCCCAAUUCCAAACCAUCCCUAUAUCACAACUCACAAGUAGGCUUUAUGGGCCUGAGACCGUCCAAGUAGGCUUUAUGGGCCUGUGACCCUCCAAGUAGGCUUUAUGGGCCUGGAGUUGGGAGAAACUUUUUUUUUUCGGAGUUGUAAAAAGUCAGGAUGGCAACGGGUGAAAGAUCGGUAUGGUUGGCUAGAGGGGGGUUGAAUAGGCGACUAACAAAUUUUAAUCUUUUUUUUUCUAGAAAGAUACAAACACUUAACCUACGGUUUACUAAAUUUUCUAAAGGUAAUGCAACCCUAAGAUGAAGUGCAAUAGCCGAAGCAACUAGAUAACAAAAAUGUAAAGGGUAAGAAUGGAUACCACACGAGAGAAGAAGAUUUCACCAGAGUUCCACCGAUUGGGAUAGGUG